rnacentral:rRNA from 1 species
GAUGAACGCUGGCGGCGUGCUUAACACAUGCAAGUCGAACGGAAAGGCCUGCUUUCCCUUGUGGAUUGCGGGUACUCGAGUGGCGAACGGGUGAGUAACACGUGAGUGAUCUGCCCCCAACUUGGGUAUAAGCCUGGGAAACUGGGUCUAAUUCCCGAUAGGACUGCAGGGUGGUGCCUGUGGUGGAAAACGAUUUUCUAGUGGUUGGGGAUGAGCUCGCGGCCUAUCAGCUUGUUGGUGGGGUAAUGGCCUACCAAGGCGGCGACGGGUAGCCGGCCUGAGAGGGUGGACGGCCACAUUGGGACUGAGAUACGGCCCAGACUCCUACGGGAGGCAGCAGUGGGGAAUAUUGCACAAUGGGCGGAAGCCUGAUGCAGCGACGCCGCGUGGGGGAUGACGGCCUUCGGGUUGUAAACUCCUUUCGACCGCGAGGAAGCCACCUGGUGGGAAGGGUGGUGACGGUAGUGGUAGAAGAAGCACCGGCUAACUACGU